UCAUAGUAAACACUAGUGUAAAAUUACGGAGAACAAUCCAAUUAUAUUAUGAUUCAGUUCCCAUUAGUAUUCUUCAUCGAAAAUCCAUGACCUAAAGUAAAUAUCUUUUUUUUUUUUAAGAAAAAAAAGUUGAACUUCAUUUGCGUUGGCAGUAACUGUAAGAGCAGAUUGACAUGGCGGUUCUUCCCACCACAAACUGCAACACACCCCAAAACCUGAACCCAAUCUUCUUCACCGGCCGCUGCCAUCAACGGCCCUUCUUUGCCGCCGGCUUCAGUAUUCGUUUUAAUUGCCGGAAGCUCCGUCGCCCGUUAAUCCUAAGCCAAACGCGCGCCACAUCGAAGUCAAGCGCGAACAGCGACCAAGAUGGCGAAGUGGACAAUUUGGGGGUUAAAGCUGCACUGUCCAUGCUUAAAUUCUACAAACGAGAAAUCUCGCCGCUAUUGCCAAAUAGUUGUCGCUAUUUACCUACAUGUAGUGAGUAUUCGAUGCAAGCUUACAAGAAAUACGGUGUUGCCAAGGGUACUGUCUUGACUGCUUGGCGUCUCUGUCGCUGCAAUCCCCUUGGUGGAUCUGGGUUUGAUCCUCCUCGGUGGUUUGAUGAAGAAAGAUUGCCAGAACCAGAAGAUUGACAAUUUCAAAUGCUUUGUUAGUAUAUGAUACGGACUAAGAAUACAAGUUUACUUCGAUGAGUUUUUCAGUUUUCUUUCCUGAUAUUGCAUUCUUAGGAGAAGGGUUGUGUUGGCUAAUGUGUUGGUUGAUUGUUGGGGGUGAAUUUGUGAGAGCUAACUCCCUGUGCAGAGCGAAGAAUGUUGUAGAAAUUAGCAUGUUACACGAAUAUUUUUGUAACUGGAGUUGUGAAUGUGGAACUUGUUCUGAGAAUAUAACAUAAUAUAUAUGUUAGAUUACAAUUGUGCUACGUUGACUUUAGCUUAUACCGAUCAUAUUAAAUGUACAAUAUCUCUGUUUUUCUAUUAGAAUUAGUACAUGAUAUAGUCUUUUUUUUAGCA